ACUCCUACGGGAGGCAGCAGUGGGGAAUAUUGCACAAUGGGCGCAAGCCUGAUGCAGCCAUGCCGCGUGUGUGAAGAAGGCCUUCGGGUUGUAAAGCACUUUCAGUCGUGAGGAAGGUAGUGUAGUUAAUAGCUGCAUUAUUUGACGUUAGCGACAGAAGAAGCACCGGCUAACUCCGUGCCAGCAGCCGCGGUAAUACGGAGGGUGCGAGCGUUAAUCGGAAUUACUGGGCGUAAAGCGCAUGCAGGCGGUCCUGUUAAGUCAGAUGUGAAACGCCCGGGGCUUAACCUCGGAAUUGCAUUUGAAACUGGCAGGCUAGAGUCUUGUAGAGGGGGUAGAAUUUCAGGUGUAGCGGUGAAAUGCGUAGAGAUCUGAAGGAAUACCGAGUGGCGAACGGCGGCCCCCGUGGACAAAGACUGACGCUCAGAUGCGAAAGCGUGGGAGCAAACAGGAUUAGAUACCCCUGGUAGCGACUGA
rnacentral:rRNA from 1 species